AGUGAACGCUGGCGGCAGGCCUAACACAUGCAAGUCGAACGGCAGCACAAGAGAGCUUGCUCUCUGGGUGGCGAGUGGCGGACGGGUGAGGAAUGCAUCGGAAUCUGCCCAUUUGUGGGGGAUAACCUCGGGAAACCGGGACUAAUACCGCAUACGACCUACGGGUGAAAGCAGGGGAUCUUCGGACCUUGCGCAGAUGGAUGAGCCGAUGCCGGAUUAGCUAGUUGGAGGGGUAAAGGCCCACCAAGGCGACGAUCCGUAGCUGGUCUGAGAGGAUGAUCAGCCACACUGGGACUGAGACACGGCCCAGACUCCUACGGGAGGCAGCAGUGGGGAAUAUUGGACAAUGGGCGCAAGCCUGAUCCAGCCAUGCCGCGUGUGUGAAGAAGGCCUUCGGGUUGUAAAGCACUUCUGUUGGGAAAGAAAAGCAGCCGGUUAAUACCCGGUUGUCAUGACGGUACCCAAAGAAUAAGCACCGGCUAACUUCGUG
rnacentral:rRNA from 1 species